GACGAACGCUGGCGGCGUGCCUAAUACAUGCAAGUUGAGCGAUGAAGAUUGGUGCUUGCACCAAUUUGAAGAGCAGCGAACGGGUGAGUAACGCGUGGGGAAUCUGCCUUUGAGCGGGGGACAACAUUUGGAAACGAAUGCUAAUACCGCAUAACAACUUUAAACAUAAGUUUUAAGUUUGAAAGAUGCAAUUGCAUCACUCAAAGAUGAUCCCGCGUUGUAUUAGCUAGUUGGUGAGGUAAAGGCUCACCAAGGCGAUGAUACAUAGCCGACCUGAGAGGGUGAUCGGCCACAUUGGGACUGGGACACCGCCCAAACUCCUACGGGAAGCAGCAGUAGGGAAUCUUCGGCAAUGGACGAAAGUCUGACCGAGCAACGCCGCGUGAGUGAAGAAGGUUUUCGGAUCGUAAAACUCUGUUGGUAGAGAAGAACGUUGGUGAGAGUGGAAAGCUCAUCAAGUGACGGUAACUACCCAGAAAGGGACGGCUAACUACGUG
rnacentral:rRNA from 1 species